rnacentral:rRNA from 1 species
GACGAACGCUGGCGGCGUGCUUAACACAUGCAAGUCGAGCGGUAAGGCCCCUUCGGGGGUACACGAGCGGCGAACGGGUGAGUAACACGUGAGCAAUCUGCCCUUCACACGGGGAUAACUCCGGGAAACCGAAGCUAAUACCCGAUACGACCACUUCAGGCAUCUGAUGGUGGUGGACAGUUCCGGCGGUGAAGGAUGAGCUCGCGGCCUAUCAGCUUGUUGGUGGGGUAACGGCCCACCAAGGCAACGACGGGUAGCCGGGCUGAGAGGCUGACCAGGAAGACUGGGACUUGGGCGCUGCCUCGACUCCGCGGAGAGUCGGCAUGGGGGCAGAUUGGACCAUGGGCGGUAGCCUGGUCCAGCACCGCCGCGUGAGGGAUGACGGCCUUCGGGUUGUAGACCUCUUUCGGCAUGGAGGUAGACUAACUUACGUUAGGCGCAGAGGCAGCGUCGGCCAUCUACGAGGCACCAGCCGCCGUAU